AUUGAAUGCUGGCGGCAGGCCUAACACAUGCAAGUCGAACGAGUGGCGGACGGGUGAGUAAUGUCUGGGAAACUGCCCGAUGGAGGGGGAUAACUACUGGAAACGGUAGCUAAUACCGCAUACCAUCGGAUGUGCCCAGAGGGGAUUAGCUAGUAGGUGGGGUAAUGGCUCACCUCGGCGACGAUCCCUAGCUGGGCUGAGAGGAUUACCAGCAACACUGGAACUGAGACACGGUCCAGACUCCUACGGGAGGCAGCAGUGGGGAAUAUUGCACAAUGGGCGCAAGCCUGAUGCAGACAUGCCGCGUGUAUGAAGAAGGCCUUCGGGUUGUAAAGUACUUUCAGCGGGGAGGCGUUACCCGCAGAAGAAGCACCGGCUAACUCCGUGCCAGCAGCCGCGGUAAUUC
rnacentral:rRNA from 1 species